UACGUAGGGUGCAAGCGUUAAUCGGAAUUACUGGGCGUAAAGCGUGCGCAGGCGGUUCGCUAAGACCGAUGUGAAAUCCCCGGGCUUAACCUGGGAACUGCAUUGGUGACUGGCGGGCUAGAGUAUGGCAGAGGGGGGUAGAAUUCCACGUGUAGCAGUGAAAUGCGUAGAGAUGUGGAGGAAUACCGAUGGCGAAGGCAGCCCUCUGGGUCAAGAUUGACGCUCAUGCACGAAAGCGUGGGGAGC
rnacentral:rRNA from 1 species